rnacentral:rRNA from 1 species
CCAAUAGCGUAUAUUAAAGUUGUUGCAGUUAAAAAGCUCGUAGUUGAAUUUCGGGAUCAGUACGCUGGUCGUGCCUUCGGUAUGCACUGGUUUCACUGAUUCCUCCCUUCUGAAGAACCGUAAUGCCAUUAAUUUGGUGUUUUAGGGAAUCAGGACUGUUACUUUGAAAAAAUUAGAGUGUUUAAAGCAGGCUCACGCUUGAAUACAUUAGCAUGGAAUAACGGAAUAGGACGUUUGAUUCUAUUUUGUUGGUUUCUAGGAUCGACGUAAUGAUUAAUAGGGAUAGUUGGGGGCAUUAGUAUUCAAUUGUCAGAGGUGAAAUUCUUGGAUUUAUUGAAGACUAACUACUGCGAAAGCAUUUGCCAAGGAUGUUUUCAUUAAUCAAGAACGAAAGUUAGGGGAUCGAAGACGAUCAGAUACCGUCGUAGUCUUAACCAUAAACUAUGCCGACUAGGGAUCGGAUGAUGUUAAUUUUUUAAUGACUCAUUCGGCGCCUUACG